rnacentral:rRNA from 1 species
ACACUCCUGCGGGAGGCAGCAGUGAGGAAUAUUGGACAAUGGGUGGAAGCCUGAUCCAGCCAUCCCGCGUGCAGGAAGACGGCCCUAUGGGUUGUAAACUGCUUUUAUCUGGGGAUAAACCUACUUACGUGUAAGUAGCUGAAGGUACCAGAAGAAUAAGCACCGGCUAACUCCGUGCCAGCAGCCGCGGUAAUACGGAGGGUGCAAGCGUUAUCCGGAUUUAUUGGGUUUAAAGGGUCCGUAGGCGGACUGAUAAGUCAGUGGUGAAAUCCGACAGCUUAACUGUCGAACUGCCAUUGAUACUGUUAGUCUUGAGUAAGGUUGAAGUGGCUGGAAUAAGUAGUGUAGCGGUGAAAUGCAUAGAUAUUACUUAGAACACCAAUUGCGAAGGCAGGUCACUAAGUCUUAACUGACGCUGAUGGACGAAAGCGUGGGGAGCGAACAGGAUUAGAAACCCGAGUAGUCC